rnacentral:tRNA from 1 species
GCCCGCGUAGCUCAGUUGGAUAGAGCGGCGGUUUCCUAAACCGCAGGUCACAGGUUCGAAUCCUGUCGCGGGUA